CCCUUAGAUGUUCUGGGCGGCCCGCGCACUACAAUGGCGUGUGCAGCGAGUGCCGAAGUAGAGUUUUCCGAGGUAUUCUUGCAAUGCUCGUUUUGAUGGGGAUAGACCCUUGCAACUGUUGGUUUUGAACGAGGAAUUCCUUGUAAGCAUGGUUUAUCAUCCGACGCUGAAUGCGUCCCUGCCCUUUGUACACACCGCCCGUCGCCCCUACCGAUUGGGUGAGCCGAUGAAACUCUCGGAUGUAGGCUAUUCAUAGCCCGCAGAAGAGAUUUGAAUCGUAGCGCUUAGAGGAAGGAGAAGUCGUAACA
rnacentral:rRNA from 1 species